CAAAGAAAGAUGCUAAACUAUUUUUGCGAUGUGUUCCUAAUAUGUAAUGUAACUGUAUUGGGGACACUUGGCAUUCAUAGUUUUGUAUCAAUAAUGCGG
rnacentral:pre_miRNA from 1 species